rnacentral:rRNA from 1 species
GGGGGGUGCAAGCGUUGUUCGGAAUUAUUGGGCGUAAAGAGCGUGUAGGCGGCCGGAUGUGUCAGAUGUGAAAGCCCUGGGCUUAACCCAGGAAGUGCAUUUGAAACUGUCCGGCUUGAGUAGGGGAGAGGGAAGUGGAAUUCCUGGUGUAGAGGUGAAAUUCGUAGAUAUCAGGAGGAACACCGGUGGCGAAGGCGACUUCCUGGCCCUAUACUGACGCUGAGACGCGAGAGCGUGGGUAGCAAACAGGAUUAGAUACCCUGGUAGUCCACGCCGUAAACGAUGUUCACUAGGUGUUGGGGGUAUUGACCCCCUCAGUGCCGGAGCUAACGCGUUAAGUGAACCGCCUGGGGAGUACGGUCGCAAGACUA